rnacentral:rRNA from 1 species
GAAACUGCGAAUGGCUCAUUAAAUCAGUUAUCGUUUAUUUGAUAGUACCUUACUACUUGGAUAACCGUGGUAAUUCUAGAGCUAAUACAUGCUAAAAACCUCGACUUCGGAAGGGGUGUAUUUAUUAGAUAAAAAACCAAUGCCCUUCGGGGCUCCUUGGUGAUUCAUAAUAACUUAACGAAUCGCAUGGCCUUGUGCCGGCGAUGGUUCAUUCAAAUUUCUGCCCUAUCAACUUUCGAUGGUAAGGUCUUGGCUUACCAUGGUCUCAACGGGUAACGGGGAAUUAGGGUUCUAUUCCGGAGAGGGAGCCUGAGAAACGGCUACCACAUCCAAGGAAGGCAGCAGGCGCGCAAAUUACCCAAUCCCGAUUCGGGGAGGUAGUGACAAUAAAUACUGAUACGGGGCUCUUUUGGGUCUCGUAAUUGGAAUGAGUACAAUCUAAAUCCCUUAACGAGGAACAAUUGGAGGGCAAGUCUGGUGCCAGCAGCCGCGGUAAUUCCAGCUCCAAUAGCGUAUAUUAAAGUUGUUGCCGUUAAAAAGCUCGUAGUUGAACCUUGGGCCUGGCUGACCUGUCCUCCUAAU